rnacentral:lncRNA from 1 species
CAAAUCUUAUGUUACCUUUUACACUAAAUUUAAAAAGUAAUGAGAGCCUAAUCUACUUAAAGGUUAAAUAUUAUAAAACAUUUUGCCACUUUUCCACAUAAAAAAAUGUUAAGGGCUCUCAGCCUUUCCUUAACUAAUGUUUCAGAUGUAUGUCAUAUUGUGCUGCUAACAUUCAUACAGAGUCAAAAACAAUAUAUGUAAACUUUAUAAAAUGAUAUCUAAAAAGAGAGACAAAGAUCAGCUUUAAAACAAAAACACUUUACCUAAGAUUUGUAAAGAGCCCUGCCUUACCUGAGAUAAGGCUCUGCCUCCCACCUUACAGCAUAUCAAAAUAACUUCAAAGUAGGCCAGAUUUCAGUUAAUUUAAAGUUAUAUUCAAAGAUUAAUUUAUUAAAAAAUUACUGUGAUAUUAUGUUAUGUAAAAAUUAACUGUAAAGUUAUAAAGAUUAAAGUUAAAGCCCAGCAUUCUUACUUUCAAACUGGUAAAAACUGACUUGCUGGAUGUUUAAGGCCAAAUUUAAAUAUUAAAGUUAAAAUAAAGGGGCCAAAGAAACCAAUAUUUGGCUCUUGCCCUCUAAGUCAGCCUGAACCCAAGACAAGGAGAAAAGCUUUGCAACUCUGGGCCACAUAACCUCCCGAUAAGGGAGAUUAAUGAGACCUCUGGAGAACAGAAAGCCAAUGAGUGUACAUGCUGCAAAAGAGGAGGGUCAUUGAAAAGGGGAGACAUGCCUGAAGCUUCCAAGGGAAGCCAUAUGGUCAGCAAGACCUUGACCCAUCCUAAUGCAGAUGACACUAACAGAGCUAAAAUGCUACUCACACGUUCCCCAAGAAUGUCCUCCAAGGAAACUCAGCUGACUCUUACCAAUAGAUAGAAACAAGGUCAGUUUGACCAGCUUGGUCUUAAACACCUAGCAAAAACAGUUAAAACCAAAGCACAGCCAUUCCUGGGCAUUUAAAAAGAAACAACAGUUAUUUUAAUGUAACUUAAAAUGUACCCUAGUGUUAGCAUCCCCCAAAUAAGUAAGACUGGAGGAAACACAGAAAAAUUCUUAGGCAAAAAUGCCUGAUAACUAUCAAUAAAAAAACUGCCAGAAGUUUUUAGUCAGUUCAAGGCCUACAGAUCUUCCUAACUUCCUACGCAGGUAGAUGUAAUCAAUGUUUAUUAAUAUAAUUAUCUAGCCUUAAGUAACAAAAGGAUCUUUACUAAACACAGUGGUCAUGCCAAAAAGGUAUUUUUACAAAAAUCAGAUGACAUUACCUAACAUAACUAAAUGUUGUGUCUACAUUCCUGAUAAUUCUGACAAUGUUAAAGAUUUAUGUUCCCUAAAAAAGUGCCUUAUUAGGCUUUGUUAGGCCUUGUUAUGGGGGCAUUUUCUCAGGUCUUCUGCCUCCUGGUAAACAAUUAUGAAUUUCUGUCAUUUUCAUGAUAUUCAUGGACAGGUUCCAGAUGCUACAACUGCUAUUUUGUAUUACUCUUACUUCAGCACUCAGGUCUUUUUGUUUCUCUCAUAGAAGUGCCCACCCCAGGUGAAUUUACAUCCUGUUCUUCCUGAGCCAGAUUUUUACCAUGGACUCCUUGACCCACUCAGUUUCUAAAAAGGGACUCCAAACUGCUUGCCCACUGCACAUCGCCCCCUUUCAGCUGGAAGUAGUAAGAACGGUCAUCGCCCUCUUCCCUUACUGCAGUUGGAGGUCCCUAAUAUUAGAAAAAAAAAAUUCCAGUCAACAUAGAUGUUCGCCAAUAUGUCUAGCUCAGGAAGAUGUACCUGGGAAACUACUCCCAAGAUUACACUGGGUGAUCUCCCAGAAAGAGACACUUGCUUCUACAACCCAACUUAUAAGUGGGACAACUCUCCCUGUUCACCAAAAAUUGUGCUUCCCGGGUCCCACUUUGAACUCCUUGACUAAAUCUCCAAACUGUCAAUAACUCUGAACUAUGUAACCUACUAUUUUGAUGGAGUAAAAGAAAAAGAACACCUGGACUUAUUAAAAGGCCAGGCCCCACUGAUUUAUCAACAUAGACUGGCUGCCCCCAUUUUAGUUCCCCUCCUGGCUGGCUUUGGAAGUCCCUCAGCCGUCAAAUAGAUAUAGAUUUAGAAAAACUAGAAAGGUCAAUCUCCAAACUAAAGGUUUCACAAGCUCUACAGAAAUAGUCUUACAAAACAGAUGAGGUCUAGAUGGUCUCUUUCUGAAACAAGGAGGACUUUGUAUGGCUCCAGGAGAAACUUGUCUCUAUGCAAACCAUUCUGGGAUAAUAAAGAACAGUUUGGCACUUCUGAAAAACAGGUUAAAUGAAAGAGAUGAAACACUAGGAAAUUCAGGCAAUUGGUUCCAAAACCUUUUCUCAUGGUCCCCUUGGUUGACUACCAUCAUUUCAGCCAUAGUUGGGCCCCUAGUCCUUCUCCUGAUUGGUAUUACUGUAGGACCCUGCCUCUUAAAAUCCCUCCUAAACCAUAUACAAAAGAAUGUAGGUGAGGUCAGACUUAUGGUCUUGCGAGCCCAGUUUAGUCCCUUAGACACAGAAGGUUGGAACAAAAACUGAGACGUAAUGAUGUGCAAGAUUGACAUCAAACCUACUCAAACCAGUGGGGAAUGUGAUAGUAGGAGCAAAUGUGACUCCAUUUUGUUUUAUGACUUCAUCCUGUAAAACAACCAUGCCAAGUAGAAGAGUCAUGACUGGAACAAGAUGUUCUUUUCCUUUUGCUAUAGAAACCUUUAAGAACACGGAACUACCUAAUGGGAUAUUGUUUCUGUAACUAGGGUAACGGGGCUCUGUUUCUGUAACUGGGGUGACUGGGCUAACUGUGAUUGGUUAGGCUUCCCUCCGCUUGACUGCACUGUCCCGCUUCUGUAACCUGGCUGGCUUGCAUUGGCUAGACCCCCUGAACAUCCCUUUUGCGGUUUUCAGGCUUAUAAGGAGUGCCCUUGCAAUUGUUCAGGGCUGAUCAGGGGAACAGCUUUAUGUUCUGGUCAGCCGCCACCGGUGUGCUUCAAUAAAGGCU